rnacentral:rRNA from 1 species
AACGAACGCUGGCGGCAUGCCUAACACAUGCAAGUCGAACGAGACCUUCGGGUCUAGUGGCGCACGGGUGCGUCACGCGUGGGAACCUGCCCUUAGGUUCGGAAUAACUCCCCGAAAGGGGUGCUAAUACCGGAUAAUGUCUUCGGACCAAAGAUUUAUCGCCUUUGGAUGGGCCCGCGUUGGAUUAGCUAGUUGGUAGGGUAAAAGCCUACCAAGGCGACGAUCCAUAGCUGGUCUGAGAGGAUGAUCAGCCACACUGGGACUGAGACACGGCCCAGACUCCUACGGGAGGCAGCAGUGGGGAAUAUUGGACAAUGGGCGAAAGCCUGAGCCAGCAAUGCCGCGUGAGUGAUGAAGGCCUUAGGGUUGUAAAGCUCUUUUACCCGGGAUGAUAAUGACAGUACCGGGAGAAUAAGCUCCGGCUAACUCCGG